rnacentral:rRNA from 1 species
AACGAACGCUGGCGGCAUGCCUAACACAUGCAAGUCGAACGAGACCUUCGGGUCUAGUGGCGCACGGGUGCGUAACGCGUGGGAACCUGCCCUUAGGUCCGGAAUAACUCCCCGAAAGGGGUGCUAAUACCGGAUAAUGCCUUCGGACCAAAGAUUUAUCGCCUUUGGAUGGGCCCGCGUUGGAUUAGCUAGUUGGUAGGGUAAAAGCCUACCAAGGCGACGAUCCAUAGCUGGUCUGAGAGGAUGAUCAGCCACACUGGGACUGAGACACGGCCCAGACUCCUACGGGAGGCAGCAGUGGGGAAUAUUGGACAAUGGGCGAAAGCCUGAUCCAGCAAUGCCGCGUGAGUGAUGAAGGCCUUAGGGUUGUAAAGCUCUUUUACCCGGGAUGAUAAUGACAGUACCGGGAGAAUAAGCUCCGGCUAACUCCGUG